rnacentral:rRNA from 1 species
UACGGAGGGGGCUAGCGUUGUUCGGAAUCACUGGGCGUAAAGGGUGCGUAGGCGGCUUGGUGGGUCUGGUGUGAAAGCCCCGGGCUCAGCCCGGGAAGGGCGCUAGAAACUGCCGAGCUCGAGUGCCGGAGGGGAGAGUGGAAUUCCUGGUGUAGCGGUGAAAUGCGUAGAUAUCAGGAGGAAUACCGGUGGCGAAAGCGACUCUCUGGACGGCAACUGACGCUGAGGCACGAAAGCGUGGGGAGCAAACAGG